rnacentral:ncRNA from 1 species
CAGGAGCCGUUGUCCUCCGGCCGUCAACCGCAACCAACCAGCAGGGUGUCGGGAAGCGCGGUGCGAAUCCGCCACUACCCCGUAACUGUAAGCGCCGAGAGGCCAUGCACGCACGUCAACGCCACUGGAGGCGCAAGCCUCUGGGAAGGCCGCAUGGACCUCGAUGACGCGCAAGCCAGGAGACCGGCCCGAGCUGCAACCAGACC